rnacentral:rRNA from 1 species
CUACAGGAUUCCCCUAGUAACGGCGAGUGAAGCGGGAUGAGCUCAAGCUUAAAAUCUCUGUCACAAAUUUAUUUUGUGCGGCGAAUUGUAGUCUAUAGAGGCGUGAUCAGUGUAGGCGCUUGAGAUAAGUUCCUUGAAAAAGGACAGCAUGGAGGGUGAAACUCCCGUUCAUACUUAGGUGGCUUGCACGUACGAUCCGUUUUCUUUGAGUCGCGUUGUUUGAGAAUGCAGCGCAAAGUAGGUGGUAAAUUCCAUCUAAAGCUAAAUAUUGGUGCGAGACCGAUAGCGAACAAGUACCGUGAGGGAAAGAUGAAAAGAACUCUGAAAAGAGAGUUAAAGAGUACCUGAAACUGCUGAAAGGGAACCGAAUCGUUUCUAGUGUCUAUAAUCUAUGACAUAUUUCAUUGGGAAGUGUGUGCGUGUGUAUACUAUGGCAGUGGCUUUUUUUGAGUUGCGCUUGGUGUGCGUGCUGUAUGUGCUAACUGAUGCCCUGUGUUAUAGUGGGACGUCAAGGUCAGUUUGUAUACUGCGGGAAAUGGCUACUGAGGAGGUAGGGCUUACGCUUGCGUUUGUCUAUUAUAUCUUGGUAGUUGUGUCGUGGUUGAGACUGAGGUGUUCUACAACGUGCUUAUGAGUGGGUCUGUGUCUCCGUGUGCGCCGUGUGCAGAUAGCUUGCUAUGUGUGUGUGGUGGUGUGUGGAUUGAUGUGGGCUUUAUCUUACUGCCGUUCGGGACUUUGGCGAAAUAGAGCGAUUUGACCCGUCUUGAAACACGGACCAAGGAGUCUAACAUGUGUGCAAGUGUUAGGGUGUGGAAACCCCAGCGCGAAAUGAAAGUAAAGGAUAGUGUAAACUAUCUUAGGUAGGAAACGUUAUGAACUUCGGUUUGUGGCGUGGCACUAUCGACCGAUCAUGAACCCUCGUGGUGAAAGAUUUGAGUUUGAGCACAUAUGUUGGUACCCGAAAGAUGGUGAACUAUGCCUGAGUAGGGUGAAGCCAGGGAAACUC